rnacentral:tRNA from 1 species
GGAUUGUGGCUCAGCGGUAGAGCGCUCGCCUACCAUGUGUGAGCCUGGGUUCGAUCCUCAGCACCA